AUUGAACGCUGGCGGCAGGCCUAACACAUGCAAGUCGAGCGGAUGAAGGGAGCUUGCUCCUGGAUUCAGCGGCGGACGGGUGAGUAAUGCCUAGGAAUCUGCCUGGUAGUGGGGGAUAACGUCCGGAAACGGGCGCUAAUACCGCAUACGUCCUGAGGGAGAAAGUGGGGGAUCUUCGGACCUCACGCUAUCAGAUGAGCCUAGGUCGGAUUAGCUAGUUGGUGGGGUAAAGGCCUACCAAGGCGACGAUCCGUAACUGGUCUGAGAGGAUGAUCAGUCACACUGGAACUGAGACACGGUCCAGACUCCUACGGGAGGCAGCAGUGGGGAAUAUUGGACAAUGGGCGAAAGCCUGAUCCAGCCAUGCCGCGUGUGUGAAGAAGGUCUUCAGAUUGUAAAGCACUUUAAGUUGGGAGGAAGGGCAGUAAGUUAAUACCCUGCUGUUUUGACGUUACCAACAGAAUAAGCACCGGCUAACUUCGUG
rnacentral:rRNA from 1 species